rnacentral:lncRNA from 1 species
CUGGCACGCACCUCCCCAUCCUGGCACGCCCCGCUGCCACACCUACAGCACGCUCUCCCUGGGGCUGUCGGUUCACCAUCUCGGGCUGCUCCAGCGCAGGCUGGCAUCCCCUAGCGGGGAUAAGGAAGGGGCUUGUGUGCAGGAAUAAGACUUAUUCAAGGUUUGGUCUGGAGAUUACUGGUGAAGAGUUGCUACUUGACAGAAACGCCCUUGAUGAAGAUGGAAAUGUCAGACACCUCUGUUCCAGGGUGACUGGAAGACUCUCCGGAGUGCUUUUUGAGAAGCUGGGUGUUGAUAGUUUGGCUCCCAGAACUCAGGUCAGUACUCCGACUCUGCAACUUCCUCCUUAA